rnacentral:tRNA from 1 species
AGCUUUAUAGUCAAUAAUGAUGUAAAAUUGCAAAUUUUAAGGGGUAGAUAUAAUACUAAGGCUU